rnacentral:rRNA from 1 species
CUUGGUCAUUUAGAGGAAGUAAAAGUCGUAACAAGGUUUUCCGUAGGUGAAACCUGCGGAAGGAUCAUUAGUGAAACUUCAAAAAGUCGGCUUGUCCCCGUACUGUGCUGGUGGAGACACAUGUGCACGUUCGAGGCGAGUCGCAAAUCCACACACCUGUGCAUCUAUGACUCUGAGUGCCGCUUUGCAUGGCCUUGACCGGCCUGGCGCUCGAGUACUUUCACACACUCUUGAAUGUAACGGAAUGUCUUGUUGUGCGUAAUGUACAAAACGAAACAACUUUCAACAACGGAUCUCUUGGCUCUCGCAUCGAUGAAGAACGCAGCGAAAUGCGAUAAGUAAUGUGAAUUGCAGAAUUCAGUGAAUCAUCGAAUCUUUGAACGCACCUUGCACCCUUUGGUAUUCCGAAGGGUACACCCGUUUGAGUGUCAUUGUAAUCUCACUACGAUCGACUUUAUUUGUCUUUCCGUAUGUGGACUUGGAUGUUGUCGUGGAUUUCAACGACUCGUCUGAAAUGCCUCAGUGUACCCCGCUUUGCGGCGUAUUCGGUGUGAUACAUCUUCACCGGAGUUGAUCCUUUUGGGUCGCGUCUGUACGAGUGUGGCUCUAUGCUUCCAACCGUCUUUUUAUGAGACAAACCUCUGACAAUUUGACCUCAAAUCGGGUGGGACUACCCGCUGAACUUAAGCAUAUCAAUAAGCGGGAGGA